CACGGUUUUAAAACGCAUCUGUUAGGGAGAGGUUUCCACACCCUUAUAAGGAAUUUAUCGUUCCCCUCUCGAACCGACGUGGGAUCUUACCGUCCAUUUUUUGCACGCUAAUAAAUGUAUACUCAUAGCAACCCCUGACUGGUGGCUCUAGUAGUGAGGAAUUGGGAUGGUUGGUGUAUCUAAGGUCCUAGACUCAAGCCUGUACAGAAGAUUAGUUCGGGUGAGCUAUGAGAAUAAUGCAAAAAAUGGAACUCCUCAAUACUCCAAUCGUAGUGUUAAAGUUAAAAGAAACUACACAUUUAUAUGGUUAUGAUCCAACACCUUCCAGGUUUACGAGGAUGAUUGUAUAGUGUAAAAGCUCACACCUGUCUAAAGACAGGAAAGUCCAACGAUCCAUUUUAUAGGAAAUGCUACAACCCAUUGUUUUUCUUUUGAUGAUGAACCUACUUUGAUACAACAAGUUAAAGGGACCUCUACGUUUCAUCCCGGUGCGUAGGGCCAAAUUCCUUUAGAGAGCCCUCGAGAUGCCUCUAUGUCAAUGGAAUUGCUCAGGAUGAAAGCUUCUUAGCAGAGCGGCCAGCAUAUAACACAAAAGCAACUCAAGUUCCAGAAGGCCAUGUUUACGUGUCGGGCGACAACCGCAACAACAGCUACGACUCCCAUAUUUGGUUAGUCUUAUUAACUUCAUGUUAUAUUAUGUAUGUUUGCUGGUUGUUGGUUGGUUCUGAUAUAUAGUUUGCUGUUAAUUCUUCAAGGAAAAAGGCUAUUUCAUUUGAGUUUAAACAGAAAAAUUUCUCUCCCAACUUCAUUGCCAUUUUUCUUAAUACUUUUUGUCAUCAAGAACACAUCAUUGGGAGCUACCUCUGUUCUUGCCCCCAAAAAAUAAAAUGGUUAUUAAAUAGGACUAAGGAGCUUUUUUUUUUUUUUUUUUUUUUUUUAAUCAAUAUAAAAUUAAUUUUUUAUAGAAUAAAAAUGUUUUUAAACAGGGAAUAAAAUAGUAAGUGACUAUUACCACAUUUUAAAAUAUGUUAA